CAAAUGAAGAGUGCUUUUGAUGGGUUC
rnacentral:piRNA from 1 species